rnacentral:rRNA from 1 species
GGGCGGGACACGUGGUAUCCUGUCUGAAUAUGGGGGGACCAUCCUCCAAGGCUAAAUACUCCUGACUGACCGAUAGUGAACCAGUACCGUGAGGGAAAGGCGAAAAGAACCCCGGCGAGGGGAGUGAAAAAGAACCUGAAACCGUGUACGUACAAGCAGUGGGAGCCUCUUUAUGGGGUGACUGCGUACCUUUUGUAUAAUGGGUCAGCGACUUAUAUUCUGUAGCAAGGUUAACCGAAUAGGGGAGCCGAAGGGAAACCGAGUCUUAACUGGGCGUUAAGUUGCAGGGUAUAGACCCGAAACCCGGUGAUCUAGCCAUGGGCAGGUUGAAGGUUGGGUAACACUAACUGGAGGACCGAACCGACUAAUGUUGAAAAAUUAGCGGAUGACUUGUGGCUGGGGGUGAAAGGCCAAUCAAACCGGGAGAUAGCUGGUUCUCCCCGAAAGCUAUUUAGGUAGCGCCUCGUGAAUUCAUCUCCGGGGGUAGAGCACUGUUUCGGCAAGGGGGUCAUCCCGACUUACCAACCCGAUGCAAACUGCGAAUACCGGAGAAUGUUAUCACGGGAGACACACGGCGGGUGCUAACGUCCGUCGUGAAGAGGGAAACAACCCAGACCGCCAGCUAAGGUCCCAAAGUCAUGGUUAAGUGGGAAACGAUGUGGGAAGGCCCAGACAGCCAGGAUGUUGGCUUAGAAGCAGCCAUCAUUUAAAGAAAGCGUAAUAGCUCACUGGUCGAGUCGGCCUGCGCGGAAGAUGUAACGGGGCUAAACCAUGCACCGAAGCUGCGGCAGCGACACUAUGUGUUGUUGGGUAGGGGAGCGUUCUGUAAGCCUGUGAAGGUGUGCUGUGAGGUAUGCUGGAGGUAUCAGAAGUGCGAAUGCUGACAUAAGUAACGAUAAAGCGGGUGAAAAGCCCGCUCGCCGGAAGACCAAGGGUUCCUGUCCAACGUUAAUCGGGGCAGGGUGAGUCGACCCCUAAGGCGAGGCCGAAAGGCGUAGUCGAUGGGAAACAGGUUAAUAUUCCUGUACUUGGUGUUACUGCGAAGGGGGGACGGAGAAGGCUAUGUUGGCCGGGCGACGGUUGUCCCGGUUUAAGCGUGUAGGCUGGUUUUCCAGGCAAAUCCGGAAAAUCAAGGCUGAGGCGUGAUGACGAGGCACUACGGUGCUGAAGCAACAAAUGCCCUGCUUCCAGGAAAAGCCUCUAAGCAUCAGGUAACAUCAAAUCGUACCCCAAACCGACACAGGUGGUCAGGUAGAGAAUACCAAGGCGCUUGAGAGAACUCGGGUGAAGGAACUAGGCAAAAUGGUGCCGUAACUUCGGGAGAAGGCACGCUGAUAUGUAGGUGAAGUCCCUUGCGGAUGGAGCUGAAAUCAGUCGAAGAUACCAGCUGGCUGCAACUGUUUAUUAAAAACACAGCACUGUGCAAACACGAAAGUGGACGUAUACGGUGUGACGCCUGCCCGGUGCCGGAAGGUUAAUUGAUGGGGUUAGCGGUAACGCGAAGCUCUUGAUCGAAGCCCCGGUAAACGGCGGCCGUAACUAUAACGGUCCUAAGGUAGCGAAAUUCCUUGUCGGGUAAGUUCCGACCUGCACGAAUGGCGUAAUGAUGGCCAGGCUGUCUCCACCCGAGACUCAGUGAAAUUGAACUCGCUGUGAAGAUGCAGUGUACCCGCGGCAAGACGGAAAGACCCCGUGAACCUUUACUAUAGCUUGACACUGAACAUUGAGCCUUGAUGUGUAGGAUAGGUGGGAGGCUUUGAAGUGUGGACGCCAGUCUGCAUGGAGCCGACCUUGAAAUACCACCCUUUAAUGUUUGAUGUUCUAACGUUGGCCCCUGAUCGGGGUUGCGGACAGUGUCUGGUGGGUAGUUUGACUGGGGCGGUCUCCUCCUAAAGAGUAACGGAGGAGCACGAAGGUUGGCUAAUCCUGGUCGGACAUCAGGAGGUUAGUGCAAUGGCAUAAGCCAGCUUGACUGCGAGCGUGACGGCGCGAGCAGGUGCGAAAGCAGGUCAUAGUGAUCCGGUGGUUCUGAAUGGAAGGGCCAUCGCUCAACGGAUAAAAGGUACUCCGGGGAUAACAGGCUGAUACCGCCCAAGAGUUCAUAUCGACGGCGGUGUUUGGCACCUCGAUGUCGGCUCAUCACAUCCUGGGGCUGAAGUAGGUCCCAAGGGUAUGGCUGUUCGCCAUUUAAAGUGGUACGCGAGCUGGGUUUAGAACGUCGUGAGACAGUUCGGUCCCUAUCUGCCGUGGGCGCUGGAGAACUGAGGGGGGCUGCUCCUAGUACGAGAGGACCGGAGUGGACGCAUCACUGGUGUUCGGGUUGUCAUGCCAAUGGCACUGCCCGGUAGCUAAAUGCGGAAGAGAUAAGUGCUGAAAGCAUCUAAGCACGAAACUUGCCCCGAGAUGAGUUCUCCCUGACUCCUUGAGAGUCCUGAAGGAACGUUGAAGACGACGACGUUGAUAGGCCGGGUGUGUAAGCGCAGCGAUGCGUUGAGCUAACCGGUACUAAUGAACCGUGAGGCUUAACCUU